rfam:Beet soil-borne virus genes for 13K, 22K and 48K proteins
GGAUGAGACGAGUUAGUCUCGACCAUUUUCACACAAUGGUUCUGAGGGGUGCAACUCCCCCCCUUAACUAGAGGGAAAUCUAGCCC